AAAUCAACAAUAAAGCUGAUAGUUUAUAAAAUCAAACAUGUUAAAACUACCAAUUAAAAUAAUUAAAGAUAAUAAAAUUAAAGCCAAACUAACUUCAUAUGAAAUUGUUUGAGCAACAGAACGAAGAGAACCUAGUAAAGAAUAAUUUGAAUUAGAAGACCAACCAGCAAUUAUAACAGUAUAAACACCUAAUCUAGUACAGCAUAAAAAAAAACAAAAAUCCAUAAGAAAAAGAACAUAUAUAAGUUAAGUAGGGGAAAAUCACUCAAACAGCCAAGGAAAUUAUUAAAUUAAAAACAGGAGAAAAUAAUAAAGUAAAUAAUUAGAUAUAAUAGGAAUUGGCUGCUCCUUACAAAUUAACUUGAUAGCAUCACUAAAGGGUUGAGGAAUUCCGACAAAACCUACUUUAUUUGGACCCUUUCGAAUUUGAAUAUAACCUAAAACCUUACGCUCUAAUAAAGUUAAAAAAGCAACACUAAUUAAAACACAAAUAACUAAUAAAAGAAAAUUCAAAAUAAACAUAAAUAAA